CCUACGGGGCGCAGCAGUAGGGAAUAUUGCGCAAUGGGGGAAACCCUGAAGCAGCAACGCCGCGUGGGGGAUGAAGGUUUUCGGAUUGUAAACUCCUGUUGUUAGAGAAGAUAAUGACGGUAUCUAACGAAUAAGCACCGGCUAACUCCGUUCCAGCAGCCGCGGUAAUACGGAGGGUGCAAGCGUUACGCGGAAUCACUGGGCGGAAAGAGCGCGGAGGCGGGAUAGCAAGUCAGAUGUGAAAUCCUAUGGCUUAACCAUAGAACUGCAUUUGAAACUGUUAUUCUAGAGUAUGGGAGAGGUAGGUGGAAUGCUUGGUGUAGGGGUAAAAUCCGUAGAGAUCAAGAGGAAUACUCAUUGCGAAGGCGACCUGCUAGAACAUAACUGACGCUGAGGCGCGAAAGCGUGGGGAGCAAACAGGAUUAGAUACCCUUGUAGUC
rnacentral:rRNA from 1 species